AGUUUGAUCAUGGCUCAGAAUCAACGCUGGCGCGUGCCUCAGACAUGCAAGUCGAACGAUUAAGACUUCCUUCGGGAAGUGCAUAAAGUGGCGCACGGGUGAGCAACACGUAAGUAAUCUACCCUCGAGUGGGAAUAACGUUCGGAAACGGACGCUAAUACCGCAUAACGCAGCGGCACCGCAAGGUGACAGUUGUUAAAGGAGCAAUCCGCUUGAGGAGGAGCUUGCGGCAGAUUAGCUAGUUGGUAGGGUAAUGGCUUACCAAGGCUACGAUCUGUAUCCGGUCUAAGAGGACGGUCGGACACACUGACACUGAAUAACGGGUCAGACUCCUACGGGAGGCAGCAGUCGGGAAUUUUGGGCAAUGGGCGAAAGCCUGACCCAGCAACGCCGCGUGAAGGAUGAAGUAUUUCGGUAUGUAAACUUCGAAAGAAUAGGAAGAAUAAAUGACGGUACUAUUUAUAAGCUCCGGCUAACUACGUG
rnacentral:rRNA from 1 species